ACGACUCUCGGCAACGGAUAUCUCGGCUCUCGCAUCGAUGAAGAACGUAGCAAAAUGCGAUACUUGGUGUGAAUUGCAGAAUCCCGUGAACCAUCGAGUCUUUGAACGCAAGUUGCGCCCGAAGUCUUUUGGCCGAGGGCACGCCUGCCUGGGUGUCACA
rnacentral:rRNA from 1 species